UUCCAUCGAGUCAAAACAGUUUUUGGUUUUUGAAAACAAAACUAGAAGAUCUCCUCUUGACCAAACUUAGUAGCUCAAAGAUCGCCCGCAACCAAGGGCAUGGCUAAUCGAUUAGAAUGACACUCUCGAGAGGUUUCUACACUUCACCCACCAGACACAAUCAGUCCAAAGUGUUGCCUAACGACAAGCGUGCGCAACAGGUAAAGAUUGUGACAAAGUUUU
rnacentral:lncRNA from 1 species